UUUUAGAUUAUAUAUUUGAGAUCUAGCCUGCCCAGUGAUUUAUUAAAUGGCCGCAGUAUUUUAACUGUGCAAAGGUAGCAUAAUAAUUAGUUUUUUAAUUGGAAGCUUGUAUGAAUGGUUGGACGAAAUAAAUUCUGUCUUUAUUUAAAUUAUAUUAGAAUUUAAUUUUUAAGUCAAAAAGCUUAAAUUUUUUUAAAAGACGAGAAGACCCUAUAAAGCUUUAUAUAAUUGUUUAUUAUAAUUUUUAUUAUUUUAUGUUGUAUUGAAUUUUUAUAUUUUAUUGGGGUAAUAUAAAGAUUUAAUUAAUUCUUUAUUAUUUUUACAUUGAUAUAUGAAUUUAUGAUCCAUUAUUAUUGAUUACAAGAUUAAGUUACUUUAGGGAUAACAGCGUAAUUUUUUUAAAGAGUUCUUAUCGAUAAUAAAGUUUGCGACCUCGAUGUUGGAUUAAAAAUUAUUUAAGGUGUAGAAGCUUUAAGUUUUGGUCUGUUCGACCAUUAAAUUUUU
rnacentral:rRNA from 1 species